AUUGAACGCUGGCGGCAUGCCUUACACAUGCAAGUCGAACGGCAGCGGGGGAGAAGCUUGCUUUUCCUGCCGGCGAGUGGCGAACGGGUGAGUAAUACAUCGGAACGUGCCCUGUAGUGGGGGAUAACUAGUCGGAAGAUUAGCUAAUACCGCAUACGACCUUAGGGUGAAAGUGGGGGACCGCAAGGCCGCAUGCUAUAGGAGCGGCCGAUGUCGGAUUAGCGAGUUGGUGGGGUAAAGGCCUACCAAGGCGACGAUCAGUAGCUGGUCUGGGAGGACGAUCAGCCACACUGGGACUGAGACACGGCCCAGACUCCUACGGGAGGCAGCAGUGGGGAAUUUUGGACAAUGGGCGAAAGCCUGAUCCAGCAAUGCCGCGUGUGUGAAGAAGGCCUUCGGGUUGUAAAGCACUUUUGUCCGGAAAGAAAUGGCUCUGGUUAAUACCUGGGGUCGAUGACGGUACCGGAAGAAUAAGGACCGGCUAACUACGUGCCAGCAGCCGCCGCCG
rnacentral:rRNA from 1 species